AUGCUCACUCUGGCAGCACAUGUACUUAAACUGGACCGAUACAGCGAAGAUUAGCAUGGCCCCUGCACAAGGAUGACAUGCAAAUUCGUGAAGCGUUCCAUAUUUUA